rnacentral:rRNA from 1 species
AUUGAACGCUGGCGGCAUGCCUUACACAUGCAAGUCGAACGGCAGCGCGGACUUCGGUCUGGCGGCGAGUGGCGAACGGGUGAGUAAUGUAUCGGAACGUACCAUUGAGUGGGGGAUAACGUAGCGAAAGUUACGCUAAUACCGCAUAUUCUCUCCGGAGGAAAGCAGGGGACCGCAAGGCCUUGCGCUCUUUGAGCGGCCGAUAUCAGAUUAGCUAGUUGGUGGGGUAAAAGCUCACCAAGGCGACGAUCUGUAGCGGGUCUGAGAGGAUGAUACGCCACACUGAAACUGAGACAAGGUCCAGACUCUGACGGGAGGCAGCAGUGGGGAAUUUUGGACAAUGGGGGCAACCCUGAUCCAGCCAUGCCGCGUGAGUGAAGAAGGCCUUCGGGUUGUAAAGCUCUUUCGGCCGGGAAAAAAUCGCAUGGAUUAAUACUCUGUGUGGAUGAUGGUACCGGAAUAAGAAGCACCGGCUAACUACGUGCCAGCCGCCGCAGUAA